rnacentral:lncRNA from 1 species
UCGAAAUGCCAUAAAACCCUUGCUUCCAAUCCAAUCCCCAGUUCCUAAAUUUCCAGCAAGCAAAGAUAUGGCGUGGCGAUCUGGGUCGUCGUUGUCAAGGUCUCUGAUCUCAACGGCAAGAGCUUCGACAUUCCGGUCGUCUCCAUCGAUCUCAUCUCUCCCUCGCGCUCCGCUUCGUAAUCUCAUCGGCAGCAGCUCCCGCCGCAACCUCUUCUCCCUCCCAGUCAAUGUGGGCCAAUUAGCUUGCGCGCAGUCGCUGAUGCCAUUGCACAGCGCCCUGGCUUCGGCUCGUCUCACAAGCCACAUCUCCGUCGAAGCGCGGCAUUGCUGCGAGCUGUCUCAGGGUACCUCCAUUGAUCCCUCGUAGUAGUUUCUCUCUUUCUGCGGUGCGUCUUGUACUGACAUUUUUUCCCCUUUGAAAUUACAUUGAAUUACUUGUCAUCUGUGUGUGAGAUUUGGUGAAAUGGAAGUGUAAUGAUAAGGAAUUUUAAUUGAAAGAGAAAAAUAUGGGAACUUUGAGUAUUUUGUGUAUGCAAUGCCUUGUGAGCUGUUUGUUUAAUGAGAAGCUUGUGAUUCAUGAUACUCAGCACUAGCUUAUUGAUUUGUACCAUCUUAUUGUUUCUUCCAGUUAUCUGCGCGUUAGAUUUUGAGAAAUGGGAGUGUAACGAUAAGAAUUUCAAUCGAAAAUAGAGCAAAGAUGGGAGCUUUGAACUUGUUGGGUAUGCAAUGCAGUGUUUGUGUAAUCGGAAAUAAAGCUUAUGGUUGUUUCUGAACCCAAUAGAAGUUGAUUAAUUGUGGAGUUUCUAGAUGUGAUACUAUGAUUCUCGGUAACAUUUGUCAUUUCAUCCUUGUGCUUUAUCCUUUUUGGUGGUGGAUUGCUUUCGUACAGGUGUUAUUCUUCGUCCAAAUUCCAAUAUUUUGAACAGAAUUGUGGCUGCUAUAUUUUUAACUAUCCAUCUAUUAUUAUAAGCCAUCUCAAGUGAAACGCUUGUGGGCUUAUCCAAUUCCGACAUGAAAAAGUUAUGUUAUUGUCUUUCGGUGUGAGUAGUGUCUGUCUAGAUAUGCAUCUCAGCUUAUUGGUCUUCUGGGUGCAAUGUUGUAGGUUCUUGAACAAGCUUCGGUUGGAUUGACACAGCAGCAGUUGCUGCUUUAUUAUGUGGAUCGUGAGAGUGGAAGCAUUCUGUACUCCUUAUGUUUGAUAAGGUGGGUGUAGGAUGUAAUUUCACGUUGUAGUGGAUAAUUUCUAGUUUCAACAUUGUUUCUAUAAGGUGUGUUCAUUUUCUUAUAAGCCAUCUGUUGAUACAAUUCAUGAUCUUGAGGGUGAUCAGAAAUUGGAAUAUGAUUCCCCUUCUUCUCAUACUCAUACCUA